rnacentral:rRNA from 1 species
UAAAAUCUACUUGAUCUUGACACAAUCCUACUUGGAUAACUGUGGUAAUUCUAGAGCUAAUACAUGCAUUAAAGCUCUGACCUCACGGGAAGAGUGCACUUAUUAGAACAAAACCAAGCGGCUUCGGCUGUUUCUGGUUGACUCAUAGUAACUGAGCUGAUCGCACGGUCUUGCACCGGCGACGUGUCUUUCGAGUAUCUGCCGUAUCAACUUUCGAUGGUAGUGUAUCUGACUACCAUGGUGAUCACGCGUAACGGAGAAUAAGGGUUCGGCUCCGGAGAGUUCGCCUGAGAAAUCGCGAACACAUCUAAGGAAGGCAGCAGGCGCGAAAAUUACCCACUCUCAGCACGAGGAGGUAGUGACGAAAAAUAACGAGACCGUUCUCUUAUGAGGCCGGUCAUCGGAAUGGGUACAAUUUAAACCCUUUAACGAGUAUCUAUGAGAGGGCAAGUCUGGUGCCAGCAGCCGCGGUAAUUCCAGCUCUCAAAGUGCAUAGAAUUAUUGCUGCGGUUAAAAAGCUCGUAGUUGGAUCUGUGCCAUAGGACGUGGUCCACCUUCUGGGUGCGUACUAUGUUCCUAGGCUUUUUGCUGGUUUUCCCGUCGUAGCCUUAACUGGUUGCGGCGGGUGGCUGGCGAGUUUACUUUGAGAAAAUCAGAGUGCUCAACACAGGCGUAUCGCUUGAAUGAUUGUGCAUGGAAUAAUAGAAAAGGAUUUCGGUCCUCUUUUAUUGGUUUUGUGGACUGAGAUAAUGGUUAACAGGGACCAACGGGGGCAUUCGUAUCGCUGCGUGAGAGGUGAAAUUCUUGGACCGUAGCGAGACGCCCUACUGCGAAAGCAUUUGCCAAGAAUGUCUUCAUUAAUCAAGAACGAAAGUCAGAGGUUCGAA